GCACAAGGCAAAGCUUCCACAAUGGGCUCCUGUGUGGCUUCACAACAAGCACCGUUUUGCACAGGGCUCUGCUGACUGAAGUGAUCCCCACGGGCCGAGCGCAGCGGAGGAGGGAGAGGAAGCCUCGCAGGGAAGAUGGGAAAGCUGCGGGAAGAGCUACACUGAUGCGUACACUGCACACACUCAAACACAAACACUCUCCAGUGCUCACACAAUGUCCCUCUCAGUCGUGGGUUGUGACCGGCCCAUGGCAUUGGCCAGCACCCGUUGAUGAGUGUGAAAUGAGUCUGGGUCUCAUUGACAGUUCAAGAUGGAGAGCAAACUGAGAUUACGGCGUGUUAAUUAAUUGCGGCCUUGAUGGCUUUCCUCCUCUUUUUCCUACCCGCUUUCAUCGCCGCCGUUCCAGCGACCUGGCAGCCCGGCCCUGUCGAUGUACUUGGCCAUAUCUGCAUGCGACCUGUCUGCCAUAUGUAAUAUCAAAGCCUCUGUCAGCAUGGAGCUCAAUGGGAACAAAAGAGAGGCCUUCAUUAAUGAUUAACUGUUCUAAAAGCCCCGGCUUUUGUAUUCCCAUGGUGCCGAGGCUAUCUGGCCGCCAUGUGACAUGCUCCUAGCGUUUUUCGAGCAGAUUGGGGGAAAGCUAGUGAGCAAACACAGGUGCUUUGGAGCAGCGUUGGCGACGCUGUCAGGGACAACCACAAACAAGAGCAGCUAUGCCUGGCUAAAUGAAUCCCCACCCCACGCCUCCAACUUCCCCCAAACCCCCCCCCCC